CAGGCCCUGUCCCUCGUUUUAGAUCGCCCAAGCCCAGCUCGAGUAAAAAGCUCAAGCCGGGCCUGGUGGUAACGUGAGGCCACGUUGUGGUUUUGCUGUGAAUAUUAAACUUCAGCAGUAAAAGCUGGUGGGUUUGUAUUUGGAUUAGAGUUUGUGCAAAGAAUGCUAGAUUCAGAUGAUACUGGCGCCAGAUUGAUUCUGCUGCUUCCAACCAGCAAGAUUUGCCUCCCCUUGCACAGAAGACGUCUUUCAAGUCCAAGCUAGUUGGUGACUCCCCAAAGGAAAACAAAACAUGGCAUUGAGUUGAGUAGCUUAAAUCAGAGGACAUAGCUAAUAUUUGUUAGGACUCUGUAGGUGAAAAUUGCUUUGCAAAGGAGUACACUGACUCCUUGGGAAAGAGAGGAAUACAAAAGAGUGGUUCCUUUUUGUUCACGGUAUCUCAGCUGUGAACUCGCAGUCAGAAUACGUGAGUCUGUAUCCCACCAAGUCCCCUAGCUCUGAGACUUUGGUUUUUGCAAAAUCAGCGUACUUCACUUUAGAGAUCUGUUAGCAAAGGCAAAGAAGGUAAGUGGCUAUGCUAGCCCCUUCCUUCUGGACUCCUGUAGCGCUCACUCCAUGUUUUACUGAAAAUAAUUAGUUUAAAUGUAUAUGCCCUCAGCUGGAAAAUAUAUCCCUAGUGAACAGGAAAUUGUAGGUUCAUCAUAUAUGUUGAGUGAAUGGAUGGGUAUAGUCGUACUAAAGUUGUGUUUUUGUUUGUUUUGUUGUUUUGUUUUUUGUUUUUGUUUUUGUUUUGAGACAGUCUCACUGUGUUGCCCAGGCCGGAGUACAG
rnacentral:lncRNA from 1 species